ACUCUCGGCAACGGAUAUCUCGGCUCACGCAUCGAUGAAGAACGUAGCAAAAUGCGAUACUUGGUGUGAAUUGCAGAAUCCCGUGAACCAUCGAGUUUUUGAACGCAAGUUGGCGCCCAAAGCCUUUUGGCUGAGGGCACGUCUGCCUGGGCGUCACACAUCGUGUCGC
rnacentral:rRNA from 1 species